AGCUGUCUGUACGCGCGGCCAUAGUCGGCUCCUCAACGUGGAGCGAUGGGAGGCCUUGAGAAGAAGAAGUAUGAACGAGGCUCAGCCACCAACUACAUCACCCGGAACAAAGCCCGGAAGAAGCUCCAGCUGAGCUUGGCUGACUUUAGGCGGCUGUGCAUUCUGAAGGGCAUUUAUCCCCAUGAACCCAAACACAAGAAGAAGGUUAACAAGGGUUCUACAGCAGCCCGAACGUUUUACCUUAUCAAAGACAUCAGGUUUCUCCUCCACGAACCCAUCGUCAACAAGUUCCGGGAAUACAAGGUGUUCGUCCGGAAGCUCCGGAAGGCUUAUGGGAAGAGUGAAUGGAACACUGUAGAGCGUUUAAAGGACAAUAAGCCCAACUACAAACUUGACCACAUCAUCAAGGAACGGGCAGCCACACAGUGCCCAGGGUGGCUCAUCCUUGUUGGCUUCGUCAUUUACCAGAGGAUUCCCCGAAACACAUUCUGCUCUGGCUCUUCCUGGACCCAAUUCCCUGGGUCUCAUUGGAUCUGGCAACUAGACAUGUCCAAGGGAUG
rnacentral:sRNA from 1 species